GGGGUUGUGGCUCAGAGUUAGAGCGCUCACCUAGCACUUGCGAGGCCCUGGGUUCGAUCCUCAGCACCACA
rnacentral:tRNA from 1 species